AGACGCCAGAGGGUAGGUGCAGGGUGGGGAUACUUUUGUGAUGCUUCAGCCUUCCUCUAGGUCCGUGUUUAUGAUCCAGCAUCCCCCCAGCGCCGGCCAGUCCUAGAGACCACCUAUGGAGAGUACCCACUAACAGCCAUGACCCUCACUCCGGGAGGCAACUCAGUGAUUGUGGGAAACACUCAUGGGCAGCUGGCAGAAAUUGACCUUCGGCAAGGGUGUCUACUGGGCUGUCUGAAGGGGCUGGCAGGCAGUGUGCGUGGGUUGCAGUGCCACCCUUCAAAGCCUCUACUAGCCUCCUGUGGCUUGGACAGAGUCUUGAGGAUACACAGGAUCCAGAAUCCACGGGGUCUGGAGCAUAAGGUAAGUUAUCUCUCCCACCUCCAACUCAUGGUCUUGUGGAGGCCCCGCCUCCUGUGCCCCCCGUUCAUGUUUCUGUCUCAGCAUGCCUGGCUCCUUAAGGCCCCUCAUCUUUUGCAGGUUUAUCUCAAGUCUCAAUUGAACUGCCUCCUCUUGUCAGGCAGGGACAACUGGGAG
rnacentral:sRNA from 1 species